UUCAGGAGAAUUCAGUUGGACAGUCACCCGAGAUUAACCUUUAUUCUGGCAAGCUGAGUUUCCUCUGCUGCUUGCCAACCGGCGAGCAGCGAUCCCCG
rnacentral:ncRNA from 1 species